rnacentral:rRNA from 1 species
GAUGAACGCUGGCGGCGUGCCUAAUACAUGCAAGUCGAGCGAACAGACGAGGAGCUUGCUCCUCUGACGUUAGCGGCGGACGGGUGAGUAACACGUGGAUAACCUACCUAUAAGACUGGGAUAACUUCGGGAAACCGGAGCUAAUACCGGAUAAUAUAUUGAACCGCAUGGUUCAAUAGUGAAAGACGGUUUUGCUGUCACUUAUAGAUGGAUCCGCGCCGCAUUAGCUAGUUGGUAAGGUAACGGCUUACCAAGGCAACGAUGCGUAGCCGACCUGAGAGGGGGGAUGGGCAACCGGGGACCGGAACCAGGGCCCGACCUCCGCGGGGAGGAAGAGGGGGGGAAUCUUCGGCAAGGGGAGAAGGCCGGAGGGAGCAAGGCGGGGUGAGUAAGGAAGGUCUUGGGAUCGUAAAAUUUUGUUAUGGGGGAAAAACAAAUGUUUAAGUAACUAUGCACGUCUGGAGGGUACUUAAUAAGAAAGCCAGGGCUAACUCCGUC